GUCUACGGCCAUACCACCCUGAACGCACCUGAUCUCAUCUGAUCUCGGAAGCUAAGCAGGGUUUGGCCUGGUUAGUACUUGGAUGAGAGGGGAAGAUGGUGCACUGCUGAGC
rnacentral:rRNA from 1 species